UACGGAGGGGGCGAGCGUUGUUCGGAAUCAUUGGGCGUAAAGGGCGCGUAGGCGGCCGACCAAGUCGGAUGUGAAAUCCCUCGGCUCAACCGAGGAACUGCACUCGAUACUGGUUGGCUAGAGUCCGGGAGGGGAUGGUGGAAUUCCCAGUGUAGCGGUGAAAUGCGUAGAUAUUGGGAGGAACACCAGUGGCGAAGGCGGCUCACUGGACCGGUACUGACGCUGAUGCGCGAAAGCGUGGGGAGCAAACAGG
rnacentral:rRNA from 1 species